UACGGAGGGGGCUAGCGUUGUUCGGAAUUACUGGGCGUAAAGGGCGCGUAGGCGGCUUGCCAAGUCAGGGGUGAAAUCUUUCGGCUCAACCGGAAAACAGCUUCUGAUACUGGCGGGCUUGAGGGAGGUAGGGGCGGAUGGAACUUCCGGUGGAGCGGUGAAAUGCGUAGAUAUCGGAAGGAACACCGGUGGCGAAAGCGAUCCGCUGGACCUCCUCUGACGCUGAGGCGCGAAAGCCAGGGGAGCAAACGGG
rnacentral:rRNA from 1 species